rnacentral:misc_RNA from 1 species
GAUGAAGAACGUAGCGAAAUGCGAUAAGUAAUGUGAAUUGCAGAAUUCAGUGAAUCAUCGAAUCUUUGAACGCACAUUGCGCCCAUUAGUAUUCUAGUGGGCAUGCCUGUUCGAGCGUCAUUAAGUCCACUUAAGCCCUGCUUAGUGUUGGGAGACUGCUCCAGCGGUGCUACCCUGUAGCUACCCUGCAGCUCCUCAAAGACAGCGGCGGAGUUGUGGUAUCCUCUGAGCUUAGUAACUUGUUCUAGCUUUCGAGUACACCACUUCCCCUGCCGUAAAACCCUUAAUUUUUAAUGGUUGACCUCGGAUCAGGUAGGAAUACCCGCUGAACUUAAGCAUAUCAAUAAGCGGAGUA